CCCGCCCCAAACUGAGGCGGAGGAAAGGAGACACAGAAAGGCUGAGAGAUUACGCCACCGCAAGAGCGCGCGCCCAGCCGGCCAGUUCGGCUGCGCAACUUCCCAGGAGCCACCGCCCACCAGCCCCGAGCGCGCCUGCGCACCUUCCCGCCCCGCCCUUGCCCGCACAGGUGUGGCACCCGCCCGCCCCGCCGCACGGAGCCGCCUGCCCGCGGCCACACGCCAGGCGUCACUCGGGCUGGCGCCGGUCUACCUAGGCAGGCGUGGGACCUGUCGGGGGCUUCACGGCAGCGCGGAAGGCCAGCCUGCAGAGAGGCUGGGCCCAGCGCCCUGACUGACCCAGCCCCGCCACGUCCAAGGUUCCCGCCCUCUGGAGGAAGCCGCGCAAUCACUCCGGGGGCGGGGAGAGACAGACAACUGAGAGGAAGGAGGUACCACGGGCACUCUCUCGCGAGAGGGCCGCAGAGCCGCCUUUGACGGGGGCGUGUACCUGGAGAGCAACGGAGCCUAUGAGGUUGGUCCUAUUUUUACUCUCACUUAUCCCUACUUACCAGAUGAGGAUCCUGAGGCUCAGAAAAACUCUUGACAAAAUUCUCAGGGAAAACUCUUCAGCUCUGGAUGUCUCCCUUUUUGUGGAUCAAACACAAAGGGCAUCAUUCUAAAAUAUAUACAGAACCAUAAAAGCCCCAAAUAGCCAAAGCAACCCUGAGCAAAAAGAACAAGGCUGGAAGCAUCACACUACCAGACUUCAAAAUUUACUACAAAGCUCUAAUACCUAAAAUAACAUGGUACUGGCAUUAAAAAAAAAAAAAAAAUAGGCACAUAGACCACCAAUGAAACAGUAUAGAGAAUCUAGAUAUACCAACUCAUCUUUAACAAAGGUGC
rnacentral:lncRNA from 1 species